rnacentral:rRNA from 1 species
UACAGAGGGUGCGAGCGUUAAUCGGAAUUACUGGGCGUAAAGCGCACGUAGUCGGCUUUGCAAGUCGGGUGUGAAAUCCCCGGGCUCAACCUGGGAACUGCAUCCGAGACUGCAUUGCUAGAGUAUGGGAGAGGGAAGCGGAAUUUCUGGUGUAGCGGUGAAAUGCGUAGAUAUCUGGAGGAACACCGGUGGCGAAGGCGGCAUCCUGGACCAAUUCUGACGCUGAGGAGCGAAAGCCAGGGGAGCAAACGGG